CGCCGGCAGCGGAGGCUCCGGCGCAGCGCUGCCUCCGCGGGGGGGGGGGAGAGGAGCCGCGGCGCAGAGACCUGCCAGAGCUCGUGGCUAACGGAGCGCAGCGGGGCCGCACCGAGCGUCCGCGCCGGGCGCCCGGCCGCCUGCGGGCUACGGGUCACCCCUGCGUUUGGGCCUGCGGAAGCGGCCUGACUAACGAUGGCGGCUAUUCAUUAAAAAGCCAGGCACGCUUCUAUGCAAAUGAGCAAGCAAACGAGAUGCGAGGGAGAGGGCAGGAAGGACCACGAGUAAUACAUAAAUAUUCAAAGUUCAGCCUGAUUUUGAGUUGGCAACGCGGUGCAAAGCCAUCUGUGGGGCUGGUGGGUUCCCCCCCCCCCCCAAAACGUUGGUGCUUCCUUUGAGAGAUGAUGCACGAGCCCACACAGCCUCCAGACCCGUUCUGUAGCUUAAUGAGCACCACAAUUAGGAACAUUCUGCCUAGCCAGUUAGGUUAAUUAGAAAACUCAGUUUUGUUAGAGUGGGAAAUCCCACUAAUGAACACGAUGACGGCCUUGGAAUAACAUGAUUCAUUCCUCCUGCUGUAUUUCRUGAACACACCUUCCUCUCGCGGCUCUUCCUUUGGCUUCGCGGCGCAAAGGGCAGCUACUUGUUCCCAGCGCGCAGCACUUUCGUUCUCUUUUCCCCGAUCCAGAAAACAGGAGGCUGYGGCCCGCAAAACUUCUUACCUCGAGGGGGUCUCACUAGCGAGUUCACCUCUGUCCAGCUCAGCAAAGAAGGGRCUGCCGGCUCGCGCAUCCUCCUGCUCCAGGUCCUCGUUUUCACAUUCCUGAUUAGACAUAGCAACCCUUAAAGAGAAGAGGCAGAGAGCUGAGAGCUGGCUGCAGGUCUCGGGAUCACGGGGGAACCCAGGAACCCUGGGAUCCCUGCUGAUCACYGCCGUGUCGCGAGGCUCUCCUUCCUUCCUUGCUCUCCAGCCUGGUUUGUUUGGCCCGUUCAUUUUGCAAGAAAUAUAACUGCUUUUCUCUAACUACUCAUAUAGCACUGAGAAGAGCAGGGAACGAUCCUCACCGGGGCUUUCGGACACGGGGGAACACAACCACYUAAGAAGGACCACAGCAGGCGAGCGCUGUGCUACCCCAGCCGCACCUUUAAAGACAUAAUACCCCAGACAGCAGCUGUUCUGGGUAUCUUCCUCAGGCAAAAGGAGCUGAAAAGUCCCAAACCCCAAUUUUUUUCUAAUGAACCAAAAUUUAAACCUUUAUUUUUUUCCCCCUGUGAGACAAGAAAUCCAUUUCUGAAGCGACUUUAAUGCUCAGGGUGUUCAAUCCUGGUUUUAUACUGGGAUAUCGCCCAGGAAUUGCUUCCGGUUUCCUGACAGGCCUUACUUGGGUAAGUAAGUCCAGGCCCGUAAACGCAGGUGACUUGUGAGAAAACCAGUUCAGUGCAACAGAGAAUAAACAAAUGACCCAGGAGGCUGCUGCA
rnacentral:lncRNA from 1 species